UAAAAUGGUGCUCCAACGGACAAGUGGAAUGGAUGAGACUGCAGUAAUUGUGUGGUAUUUAGCAUUUUGUUGUCUUCUGGCUCGGCUCAUACUUGGGGCAGCACUAUUUAAAGGAAUCAAGUCCCCUGCCAAGUGUUAUAUUUUACAGCUCUUUUCCCCUAUGUGGUCCUACUCAUCUUGUUAGUAAGAGGUGCAACUUGGGAGAGUGCUUCAGUAGGCAUUUCAUACUAUAUUGGAGCACACAUUUUACAAAACUUAAGGAAGCUGAGGUUUGGGUAGAUGCUGACACUCAGAUAUUUUACCCCCUUUCAGUGGCUUGGGGUGGCUUAGUUGCUCUAUUAUCUUACAAUAAGUUCAAAAACAACUGCUUCUCUGAUGCCAUUGUAGUUUUUUUGACAAACUGUCUCACUAGUGUGUUUGCUGGAUUUGCUAUUUUUUUCUAUAUUGGGCCAAAUGGCUCAUAUAUCUGGAAAGGAAUUUUCUCAAGUUGGAAAAUCAGGUUUUGAUUUGGCAUUCAUUGCCUAUCCAGAAGCUCUAGUGCAACUACCAGGUGGUCCAUUUUAGAUCAUAUUAUUUUUUUCAAGCUUUUAAAUUUGGGUCUCGAUUCUCAGUUUGCUUCCAUUGAAGUGAUCAAAACAACGAUUCAAGAUUUACUUCCCAAAGUGAUGAAGAAAAUGAUGGUUUCCAUAACUUUGGGCUGCUGCUUGGUUUUGUUUCUCCUUGGUCUUGUCUGUGUGACUCAGACUGGAAUUUACUGGAUUCAUCUGAUUGACCAUUUCUGUGCUGGAUGGGGCAUUUUAAUUGCAGCUGUGCUGGAGCUAGUUGGAAUCAUCUGGAUUUAUGGAGGGAACAGAUUCAUUGAGGAUAUAGAAAUGAUGAUUGGAGCAAAGAGGUGGAUAUUCUGGCUAUGGUGGAGAGCUGGCUGGUUUGUCAUUACUCCUAUCCUUUUGAUUGUAA
rnacentral:lncRNA from 1 species